CAGCCGCCACGGUAAUACGAAGGGUGCAAGCGUUACUCGGAAUUACUGGGCGUAAAGCGUGCGUAGGCGGUUCGUUAAGUCUGUUGUGAAAGCCCCGGGCUCAACCUGGGAAUGGCAAUGGAUACUGGCGAGCUAGAGUGUGUCAGAGGAUGGUGGAAUUCCCGGUGUAGCGGUGAAAUGCGUAGAGAUCGGGAGGAACAUCAGUGGCGAAGGCGGCCAUCUGGGACAACACUGACGCUGAGGCACGAAAGCGUGGGGAGCAAACAGGAUUAGAUACCCCUGUAGUCCCUGUCUCUUAUAC
rnacentral:rRNA from 1 species